GUAGGUGAACCUGCGGAAGGAUCAUUAACACGAACUCUAUCCACUAACCAAACCAAACGGAAACUUUUCCCCUCCCUAGUGCACUGCAUUGCAUUGCAUUGCAUUGCAUUGCAUUGCAUUAGGCUAAACUAUUUACUCGAUUUUACCCCAUACAAACAAAACAAACCUAUGGUCUUGAUUGAGAACCAGUCAUUACCACUUUUACUAUCCGAACAUGACUUGUGGUCCUAGUUGACUCGGUGUGUUCUGUUCUAUACAGGAACUUGAAAAGAGAAAAUACAACUCUUAACAAUGGAUAUCUUGGUUCUC
rnacentral:misc_RNA from 1 species